GUAUCCAGGGACGGGCCAGCGCAGAGCCCUGCACGCCAUGCUCAUUCAGGUAUUUGUCCAGCUCAACCAUCCCCGUCCAGCGAUUCUCGCACCACAGCGGGGCAAGCAGCGUCGGACGGCGAGCGCUGGCUGAAAUUCGGUGAUAAAUUACCUCCGGCGGCGUAUGACGAAUCAUCUCACCUGCCGUUAGCGUGUAGUCGUCCAGUUCGAUGCCGUUCAGCCGCCCCGCUUCCCAGGCUUUGGCCAUCGUACUGCCUUUCACAAUAUGCAGCGGAUGCAGUUUAAUACCGUCAACGCCCGUCUCCACCACACGCUCCAUGGUUUGCAGGCAUUCUGCCUGCCCUUCGCCCGGCAGCCCCACAAUCAGAUGCGCGCACACUUUCAG
rnacentral:misc_RNA from 1 species